rnacentral:rRNA from 1 species
GACGAACGCUGGCGGCGUGCCUAAUACAUGCAAGUAGAACGCUGAAGAGAGGAGCUUGCUCUUCUUGGAUGAGUUGCGAACGGGUGAGUAACGCGUAGGUAACCUGCCUUGUAGCGGGGGAUAACUAUUGGAAACGAUAGCUAAUACCGCAUAACAAUGGGUGACACAUGUCAUUUAUUUGAAAGGGGCAAUUGCUCCACUACAAGAUGGACCUGCGUUGUAUUAGCUAGUAGGUGAGGUAACGGCUCACCUAGGCGACGAUACAUAGCCGACCUGAGAGGGUGAUCGGCCACACUGGGACUAAGACACGGCCCAGACUCCUACGGGAGGCAGCAGUAGGGAAUCUUCGGCAAUGGGGGCAACCCUGACCGAGCAACGCCGCGUGAGUGAAGAAGGUUUUCGGAUCGUAAAGCUCUGUUGUAAGUCAAGAACGAGUGUGAGAGUGGAAAGUUCACACUGUGACGGUAGCUUACCAGAAAGGGACGGCUAACUACGUGC